rnacentral:lncRNA from 1 species
UUUGGCAUUGAUCCAAAGUUGAGCGAUGUGUGAGUAAGAUGAAAGAGCCUUGCCUAGGUAUUCAGAAGCAAGAGCAAUGCAAAAACGGUCAUGCGAUCAACAAAGCAGUACAGUUAUUAAAGCCCUCCCAGGGUGAAUAAACAAAAACUCACCAAUGACAGCUAGAAAAAAACCGAACAAAAAAAAACUUUCCCUGGAGUGACCACUUUGUACUGCUUCCUUUUUUUUUAACUUAAGAAGCAAAAUUUAGUUUAUAAAAAUUAAAGCAUAAAAUCAAAUCAUAUCCCAAACAUUAAACAAAACUAACUCAAGUAACACAUUGAAUCUCACUUUUGGCUUGUGUUUGACAAGAAAUGGCCAUGGCAGUUUUUUGGCAUCUUUCCAACUGGACUUCCUUACAGAGCUGCCAGGACACUGUUAAUUAGGAAAAUAGUUGCAAAAUAAAGAGGCUUUGGAGAGAACAAACUACAAAUGUGAUUCAAAUAUAUUGAAUCUUUCCAAGAUGUGCCUUGUGGCCUUUCUCAGCGUAUUACUUGUUCAGAACAUCACUCAUGAGCCAGGAACCAUGAACAUGCAGGAACUGUGUACACGAUGUGGCUGUCCCCAGCAAAAUCAAUUCCCACAUGGUGAUGCAGCUAAGAAUCAUCAGUAGCCAUUACUCCUAGAAGCUCAUGGAAUUUGAAAGUACAUCUUUGUAACACUGCAGAAGCAAGUCUUCAGCUUCUUAAAAAAAAAAAAGAAAAAAAAGACCAUCACUUCAUAUACAAUCAUGUAAGUUUUCAAUGCAAUUACUGUAAGAAAUUUUGUCUUCUUGUUUAUUCGGUUCCCAUGAAUAGGGUGACAAUUUUUUUUUUAGCCUACUAUAAUGAGUGGUAAUAUUGCCUGUGUUUAUGUUUUUUGAUUUUAUGGCACUGAUUUGAGAUGACUACUCCAUUUCAAAAGUAAAAUAUCAUCUGCUUAUGACUUAAUAUAAGUAUAUAAGCACCUCACCACAAUUUUUACUGUAUAUAAUUUGGUAAAUAUAAAAAAUAACAAAUAUACAUUUAUUAGUUACAUAUAUUUAAAGUUAGCUCACUCUCUCAAAUAUAUAAACAGAGUGUGUUUGUCCAUUCAAGGAAACUAGUAAAGCAGUGUGGC